GACGAACGCUGGCGGCGUGCCUAACACAUGCAAGUCGAGCGAGUUAAUCUCCUUCGGGAGUGAAGCUAGCGGCGGACGGGUGAGUAACACGUGGGCAACCUGCCUCAUAGAGGGGAAUAGCCUUCCGAAAGGAAGACUAAUACCGCAUAAGAUUGUAGCUUCGCAUGAAGUAGCAAUUAAAGGAGCAAUCCGCUAUGAGAUGGGCCCGCGGCGCAUUAGCUAGUUGGUGAGGUAACGGCUCACCAAGGCGACGAUGCGUAGCCGACCUGAGAGGGUGAUCGGCCACAUUGGGACUGAGACACGGCCCAGACUCCUACGGGAGGCAGCAGUGGGGAAUAUUGCACAAUGGGGGAAACCCUGAUGCAGCAACGCCGCGUGAGUGAUGACGGCCUUCGGGAUGUAAAGCUCUGUCUUCAGGGACGAUAAUGACGGUACCUGAGGAGGAAGCCACGGCUAACUACGUGCCAGCAGCCGCGGUAACAC
rnacentral:rRNA from 1 species